rnacentral:rRNA from 1 species
AUCUGCAGUGCUCGAUGGCUGUCGUCAGCUCGUGCGUAGGUUGGGUUAAGUCCCGCAACGAGCGCAACCCUUAUCUUAGUUGCCACCCAGUAAUGUCGGGNACUCUAAAGAAACUGCCUACGCAAGUAGAGAGGAAGGCGGGGACGACGUCAAGUCAUCACGGCCCUUACGUCCUGGGCCACACACGUGCUACAAUGGUUGGUACAGAGGGCAGCUACCGGGUGACCGGAUGCGAAUCUCUAAAGCCAAUCUCAGUUCGGAUUGGAGUCUGCAACUCNACUCUAUGAAGCUGGAAUCGCUAGUAAUCGCGCAUCA